rnacentral:rRNA from 1 species
AUUGAACGCUGGAGGCAGGCCUAACACAUGCAAGUCGAACGAGUGGAGGACGGGUGAGUAAUGUCUGGGACACUGCCCGAUGGAGGGGGAAAACUACUGGAAACGGUAGCUAAUAACGCAUACCAUCGGAGGUGCCCAGAUGGGCUUAGCUAGUAGGUGGGGUGACGUUUCACCUGGGAGACGAUCCCUAGCUGGUCUGAGAGGAUGACCGGCCAGACUGGUACUGGGACACUGUCCAGACUCCUACGGGAGGCAGCAGUGGGGAAUAUUGCACAAUGGGCGCAAGCCUGAUGCAGCCAUGCCGCGUGUAUGAAGAAGGCCUUCUGGUUGUAAAGUAAUUUCAGCGAGGAGGCGUUACUCGCAGAAGAAGCACCGGCUAACUCCGUGCCAGCAGCCGCGGUAAUAC